CGAAGGGCAGCGGGGUUGUAGCAAUACAACUGCCGGCGACCGGCGCACGGGUGAGUAACACGUAUGUAACCUGCCCUCUGCAGGGGGAUAAGCGGAAGAAAUUCCGUCUAAUACCGCAUAAUACAAUUUGGAGACAUCUCCGGGUUGUCAAAGGAGUGAUCCGGCAGAGGAUGGACAUGCGGCGCAUUAGCUAGUCGGCGGGGUAACGGCCCACCGAGGCUACGAUGCGUAGGGGUUCUGAGAGGAAGGUCCCCCACACUGGUACUGAGACACGGACCAGACUCCUACGGGAGGCAGCAGUGAGGAAUAUUGGUCAAUGGGCGGAAGCCUGAACCAGCCAAGUCGCGUGAGGGAAGACGGUCCUAUGGAUUGUAAACCUCUUUUGCAGGGGAGCAAGGCGCGGUACGUGUACCGCGAAGGAGAGUACCCUGAGAAAAAGCAUCGGCUAACUCCGUGCCAGCAGCCGCGGUAAUACGGAGGAUGCGAGCGUUAUCCGGAUUUAUUGGGUUUAAAGGGUGCGCAGGCGGACUGUUAAGUCAGCGGUAAAAUGUCGGUGCUCAACACCGGCCGGCCGUUGAAACUGGCAGCCUUGAGUGAGCGAGAAGUAUGCGGAAUGCGUGGUGUACCGGUGAAAUGCAUAAAUAUCACCCAGAACUCCGAUUGCGAAGGCCGCCUAACCGGCGCUCAACUGAAGCCUCAGGCACGAAAGCGUGGGUCUCCUUUAAAGGCCCCCCCCCCCCCCCCUCCCCCCCACCCCACGACCCUUUAAAAGGAUGGGGGGCCGUUUAAGGCCUGGGUGGUCAAGCGAAAGCGUUAAGCAUUCCACCUGGGGAGUACGCCGGCAACGGUGAAACUCAAAGGAAUUGACGGGGGCCCGCACAAGCGGAGGAACAUGUGGUUUAAUUCGAUGAUACGCGAGGAACCUUACCCGGGCUCAAACGGAAGGGGACAGUAUGAGAAAUCAUACAUUCCUUCGGGACCGCUUCCGAGGUGCUGCAUGGUUGUCGUCAGCUCGUGCCGUGAGGUGUCGGCUUAAGUGCCAUAACGAGCGCAACCCCUAUCGACAGUUGCUAGCAGGUAAAGCUGAGGACUCUGUCGAGACUGCCGGCGCAAGCUGUGAGGAAGGCGGGGAUGACGUCAAAUCAGCACGGCCCUUACGUCCGGGGCGACACACGUGUUACAAUGGCAGGUACAGCGGGAAGCCACCCGGCGACGGGGCGCAGAACCCGAAAACCUGUCUCAGUUCGGAUUGGAGUCUGCAACCCGACUCCAUGAAGCUGGAUUCGCUAGUAAUC
rnacentral:rRNA from 1 species